ACGUGAUCUGAGUUCAGACCGGAGUAAUCCAGGUCAGUUUCUAUCUAUAAAGAAGGUUUUCUAGUACGAAAGGAUCGAAAAAACACGGCCAAUAUAUUAACAAGCCGUAUUUAUUAAACUAUGAACAAAACUUAAUAAUUUAUUAAACU
rnacentral:rRNA from 1 species